rnacentral:rRNA from 1 species
GAUGAACGCUGGCGGCGUGCCUAAUACAUGCAAGUCGAGCGGACGGACGAGAAUCUUGCUUCGCUGAUGUUAGCGGCGGGCGGGUGAGUAACACGAGGAUCCCCGACCUAUAGGACUAAGAUAAGGUCGGGAAACCGGAUCUAACACCGGACGAUAUUUUGAACCUCGGGGUUCUAAAGUGAAAGAGGGUCUUGCUGUCACUUAUUGGGGUAUGCGAGCUGGAUUGGCUAGUUGGUAAGGUAAAGGCGUACCAAGGCAACGCUGCGUAGCCGACCUGAGAGGAUGAUCAGCCACACUGGAACGGAGGCACGGUCCAGACUCCUACGGGAGGCAGCAGUAGGGAAUCUUGGGCAAUGGGCGAAAGCCUGACCGAGCCAGGCCGCGUGAUUGAUGAAGGUCUUCGGAUCGUAAAACACUGUUAUUAGGGAGGAACAGUUGUGUAAGAAAAUGUGCACGUCUUGACGUUACCUACUAAGAAAGCCACGGCUAACUUCGUG